rnacentral:rRNA from 1 species
AGAGUUUGAUCAUGGCUCAGAUUGAACGCUGGCGGCAGGCCUAACACAUGCAAGUCGAGCGGUAGCACAGAGAGCUUGCUCUCGGGUGACGAGCGGCGGACGGGUGAGUAAUGUCUGGGAAACUGCCUGAUGGAGGGGGAUAACUACUGGAAACGGUAGCUAAUACCGCAUAAUGUCGCAAGACCAAAGUGGGGGACCUUCGGGCCUCAUGCCAUCAGAUGUGCCCAGAUGGGAUUAGCUAGUAGGUGGGGUAACGGCUCACCUAGGCGACGAUCCCUAGCUGGUCUGAGAGGAUGACCAGCCACACUGGAACUGAGACACGGUCCAGACUCCUACGGGAGGCAGCAGUGGGGAAUAUUGCACAAUGGGCGCAAGCCUGAUGCAGCCAUGCCGCGUGUGUGAAGAAGGCCUUCGGGUUGUAAAGCACUUUCAGCGGGGAGGAAGGCGUUAAGGUUAAUAACCUUGGCGAUUGACGUUACCCGCAGAAGAAGCACCGGCUAACUCCGUGCCAGCAGCCGCGGUAAUACGGAGGGUGCAAGCGUUAAUCGGAAUUACUGGGCGUAAAGCGCACGCAGGCGGUCUGUCAAGUCGGAUGUGAAAUCCCCGGGCUCAACCUGGGAACUGCAUUCGAAACUGGCAGGCUAGAGUCUUGUAGAGGGGGGUAGAAUUCCAGGUGUAGCGGUGAAAUGCGUAGAGAUCUGGAGGAAUACCGGUGGCGAAGGCGGCCCCCUGGACAAAGACUGACGCUCAGGUGCGAAAGCGUGGGGAGCAAACAGGAUUAGAUACCCUGGUAGUCCACGCCGUAAACGAUGUCGAUUUGGAGGUUGUGCCCUUGAGGCGUGGCUUCCGGAGCUAACGCGUUAAAUCGACCGCCUGGGGAGUACGGCCGCAAGGUUAAAACUCAAAUGAAUUGACGGGGGCCCGCACAAGCGGUGGAGCAUGUGGUUUAAUUCGAUGCAACGCGAAGAACCUUACCUGGUCUUGACAUCCACAGAACUUAGCAGAGAUGCUUUGGUGCCUUCGGGAACUGUGAGACAGGUGCUGCAUGGCUGUCGUCAGCUCGUGUUGUGAAAUGUUGGGUUAAGUCCCGCAACGAGCGCAACCCUUAUCCUUUGUUGCCAGCGG